UGGGGAAUUUUGGACAAUGGGGGAAACCCUGAUCCAGCCAUCCCGCGUGUGCGAUGAAGGCCUUCGGGUUGUAAAGCACUUUUGGCAGGAAAGAAACGUCAUGGGUUAAUACCCCGUGAAACUGACGGUACCUGCAGAAUAAGCACCGGCUAACUACGUGCCAGCAGCCGCGGUAAUACGUAGGGUGCAAGCGUUAAUCGGAAUUACGGGGCGUAAAGCGUGCGCAGGCGGUUCGGAAAGAAAGAUGUGAAAUCCCAGAGCUCAACUUUGGAACUGCAUUUUUAACUACCGGGCUCGAGUGUGUCAGAGGGAGGUGGAAUUCCGCGUGUAGCAGUGAAAUGCGUAGAUAUGCGGAGGAACACCGAUGGCGAAGGCAGCCUCCUGGGAUAACACUGACGCUCAUGCACGAAAGCGUGGGGAGCAAACAGG
rnacentral:rRNA from 1 species